CCCUGUGGUGCUUAUCCAAGCUCUUUAAGAGAGAUUUGUGCUUGGAUCUGAUCCUUGUGAUGCAUUAAGAAAGUUGAUCUUGGCAACACCUCACAUAUAACCCAAGACCAAAAUAAAGUUACAUUCGGAAGGCAGUCACGACUCAGUGAUCUUAUCCUGCAGAACGCCUUCUCUUGGCGUUUACAUCAUAUAAUUUGCUGCCCUGGAAAGGUUCCCUGAGCCUGCCUUGCUGGUGUGCAGCCAGAGGAUCCAAGUGGCAAAGGUGUCAGCACCCAGGAACCGGACGGCCCACACCUGCAGGUCUCGCUAGGAGCUCCAGCUCUGC
rnacentral:lncRNA from 1 species